rnacentral:rRNA from 1 species
AUACGGAGGGGGUUAGCGUUGUUCGGAAUUACUGGGCGUAAAGCGCACGUAGGCGGACUGGAAAGUUGGGGGUGAAAUCCCGGGGCUCAACCCCGGAACUGCCUCCAAAACUUCCAAUCUAGAGAUCGAGAGAGGUGAGUGGAAUUCCAAGUGUAGAGGUGAAAUUCGUAGAUAUUUGGAGGAACACCGGUGGCGAAGGCGGCUCACUGGCUCGAUACUGACGCUGAGGUGCGAAAGCGUGGGGAGCAAACAGGAUUAGAUACCCCAGUAGUCC